CAAACUCCGAAUGCGUAUUAUAUGAUUCCACGGAGUGAGGGCAUGGGUGCUAAGGUCCAUGUCCGAGAGGAGAAGAAUCCAGACCACCUGCUAAGGUCCCGAAAUAAUGCUUAAGUUGAGAAAACGAAGUCAGAUUGCAAAGACAGCUAGGAUGUUGGCUUGGAAGCAGCCAUUCAUUUAAAGAGUGCGUAACAGCUCACUAGUCGAGGAAUUUGGCAUGGAUAAUAAUCGGGCAUAAAGCAUUUACCGAAGCAGUGGAAUCAGUAAUGAUUGGUAGGGGAGCAUUCCGGCGGCGUCGAAGAUAGAGGAUGACCUCUGUUGGAGCUUCCGGAAAAGCAAAUGUAGGUAUAAGUAACGAUAAAGGAGGUGAGAAACCUCCUCGCCGAAAGACUAAGGUUUCCUGAUCAACGUUAAUCGGAUCAGGGUAAGUCGGGACCUAAGGAUAAGCCGAACGGCGAGGCCGAUGGAAGAAACGGUUAAUAUUCCGUUACUACUUUAAUGAGUGACGUGGAGACGGAGAAGUGACAGUCCUGCCGGCUGACGGAAUAGCCGGUUGAAGGGUGUAGGAGUAGAUCCUUGCAGGCAAAUCCACAAGGAGAUCCGAACUUGAUAGUAUGGAGCGCACCCCGGUGCAAUCCAAAAUGGACGUAAUCAGGCUCCCGAGAAAAUCCGCUAAACAUAAUCAUUGAAGUACCCGUACCACAAACGGACACACGUAGUUGGGUUGAAAAUACUGAGGCGCUCGAGUGAGUCACGGUUAAGGAACUAGGCAAAAUGGUCCUGUAACUUCGGGAUAAAGGACGCCAAUCGUAAGAUUGGCCGCAGAGAAUAGGCCCAGGCGACUGUUUAACAAAAACACAUGGCUGUGCGAAAUAUUAACAUAGAAGUAUACAGCCUGACACCUGCCCGGUGCUGGAAGGUUAAGAGGAGGACUCAGCGCAAGCGAAGGUCUGAAUUGAAGCCCCAGUAAACGGCGGCCGUAACUAUAACGGUCCUAAGGUAGCGAAAUUCCUUGUCGGGUAAGUUCCGACCUGCACGAAUGGUGUAACGAUCUGGGCACUGUCUCAACCGUGAGCUCGGUGAAAUUGUAGUAUCGGUGAAGAUGCCGAUUACCCGCGAUGGGACGAAAAGACCCCGUGAACCUUUACUAUAGCUUUACAUUGAAUUUGGGCAAUUGAUGUGUAGGAUAGGCCGGAGGCAGAGAAGCUGGUACGCCAGUAUUAGUGGAGCCGCCGUUGAAAUACGGCCCUUUGAUUGUUUGAGUUCUAACUUGCGGGAUGCGAGGACACUGUAUGGUGGGUAGUUUGACUGGGGUGGUCGCCUC
rnacentral:rRNA from 1 species